ACUUGGUGUGGUUGUUGCUGGCCCUCUCGGGGGCAUGUGCACACCCACCAUCCUCAUCUCUCCACCUGUGCACCUCUUGUAGACCUGGAUUGACUUUCCGAGGCAACUCGGUCGGGAAGAUUGCUGCGCUCUGUGAGCCAGCUUUCUUUGCAUGUCCAGGCCUAUGUUUUUCAUAUACCCCUAUAGAAUGUAACAGAAUGUAUCAUUGGGCCUUGUGCCUAUAAACCUUAUACAACUUUCAGCAACGGAUCUCUUGGCUCUCGCAUCGAUGAAGAACGCAGCGAAAUGCGAUAAGUAAUGUGAAUUGCAGAAUUCAGUGAAUCAUCGAAUCUUUGAACGCACCUUGCGCUCCUUGGUAUUCCGAGGAGCAUGCCUGUUUGAGUGUCAUUAAAUUCUCAACCUUAUUAACUUUUGUUGAUAAUGGAUUGGAUUGUGGGGGUUUCUUUUGCUGGCUUCUUCACAGAGAUCAGCUCCCCUUAAAUGCAUUAGCUGGUGCCCCGCGUGGACCAUCUAUUGGUGUGAUAAUUAUCUACGCCGUGGAUGUCUGCAAUUAUAUGGGUUUCGCACUGCUUCUAACCGUCUGUUCAUUCGGACAAUACAUGACAAUUGACCUCAAAUCAGUAGAU
rnacentral:rRNA from 1 species